UACGUAGGGUGCGAGCGUUGUCCGGAAUUACUGGGCGUAAAGAGCUCGUAGGUGGUUUGUCGCGUUGUUCGUGAAAACUCACAGCUUAACUGUGGGCGUGCGGGCGAUACGGGCAGACUGGAGUACUGCAGGGGAGACUGGAAUUCCUGGUGUAGCGGUGGAAUGCGCAGAUAUCAGGUGGAACACCGAUGGCGAAGGCAGUGUUCUGGGCCAGUACUGACGCUGAGGAGCGAAAGCGUGGGGAGCAAACAGG
rnacentral:rRNA from 1 species